CACAUUCUACUUUAUAGUAUAGAUAUAUAUAUACAUAUAUAUAUAUAUAUAUAUUUAAAUACAAACUAUAAUUUCUAAGCUUUAAUGCUUUUACUUAAAUAACAAUAAUCUACAUCAGGGGUGGGCAACCCUUUUGGAUCGAGGGCUGCAAUUCUUUAAAUUUUGGAAUGGCGGGCCGCAUAUGUAUAUACAACUUAGAAAGAUACUCUAGCUAACUUUUAAUUCAUAGUUACACUGUAUUAUAUUCACGUUUCUUUUUUUCCACACUCCACGUUAAGGAAUUACAAGAAGAGGUAGCAAUUUUUUUAAUCAAUUAAUUUUUUUUUUUAAAUUGCUGUUGUCUUUUUAUAUUACAAUAACCCCACUAAUAUACAGUUGUACUUGAUGUGCAGUAUUUUACUUUUUACACUCGUGCAUAAUGUUCCGGAACCAUGGAACUAGCUUACUAGUUGUUACCCUUGUGACUGCCGUUAAAUUACAAUCAGUUGAAAUCGAUCAGUAAUUAUACAGUUUAGUUUCCCCCCAGAGAAUGCUGGCCAUGUCCUUCAAUGGUGCAUACUAAAUCAGAGACCCGAACAGGACUCUAGCCCCAUAGCCCUCCUAUAGAACCAAAACUAUUUGGAGAACUGCCUGUAUCUGGAAAACAUUGUGCGGUUUAUCUUAGAUAUAGGAUUGCUGAUCUGAACCCUCCAAGAUGUAAAAUGAGAACAAAGAAGAAGAAGAACAGAUGUAUGUGUACACAUAUAGUAUGAACAGCAGCAUAUUUUAUAAAAUGUUGAUAUACAGAUUCUGGCACUCAUAAGACUCCUGCGGAAGUACUGACUGGAAAUUAUCUUUGCUCGGAGUUAUGUCCUUUGGAGCUAAAUCAGCUUCUGCGCUAAAUGGUGAGCUAAUGGUAUUGAAAACUGGUUCUUGACGUCUUCAAAUUUGCUUACAUAAAUUGCAAAAUUAAGGAAUCUAAAUAAAUGUUGUACUUUUAAUCAUUUCACUAGAAAUAAUUUCACCUUUCAGCAAAGGAAAAUGACAAAACCUGUUUUCUUUUGCUUGCUUGUAGAAAUGGGAAGGCCUUGUUUGAAAAGACUAAACAUCCAUUUACAUUUCAUUUGCAACGGCAAUUAUGAAACCUGAAAUCUGUCUUCCACUCUUCAUUAGAAAUAUUGGUAACAAAGUCACAGUCAAUGUCCUUCAAGUAACAGAACAAUAUCUUCCCUCAGAUUUUAUAGUGUUCUCGCUUUAAUCUAAACUUGAUGGAUGGACAGACGGACCGACAGACAGGCCACACAAAACUAAUAGCACCUUUUCCCCUUUCUGGGGCCAAUACAAUAACGCCAUCUGACCUAUUAAAUCUCAAAAGCUAUUUGUAUUAACGUUUAUAAUUUUAAAAAUAAAGACUAAAAAUGA